UGGAAGUUCCCAGACUAGGGGUUGAAUUGGAGCUACAUCUGCCAGCCCAUGCCACAGACACAGCAAGGCAAGAUAAGAUCCUAGCCAAGUCUGUGGCCUACACCACAGCUUAUGGCAAUACCAGAUCCUUAACCCACUGAGCGAGGCCGGGAAUCAAAGCCACAUCCUCAUGGAUCCUUGUCAGGUUUGUUACCACGGAGACAUGACAGGAACUCCUGAGAAAUCUUUAGAAACCAACGGAAAGGAAAGAGAGGGAAAACAUUUAAUAGUCACCAAAAGCAAUCAAGAAAAUAAAAGAUCCAAGAAAUACUGGAAGAUUUACAAGAUGACUCAGAUAUUUUAAAGGAUAAAUUAUCAACUCAUUUGAUAAAUGUGCAUUGGACCCCUAUCAGGAUUCAAGGCAUGAGACACAAAGAUAAAGGAGAAUUGGGUCCUGCCAUUUUAGGGAGUUUAGGGACCCAUUAAGAUCUAAGCAUAUGAGUCCUUCUCAAACCAAGAAGUACGUUGAAGUCAUCUGGGAGAAUGUCUUCAAAUUACCAAUGGUCAGACUUACAUCUGGGCCAAUUAUACAAGCACCUGUACCCCCCAACAGUUUUUAAAAGACUUUGAGCUGGACCAUGGAGGUGGGUGGGGACUUGAACAUAGACAGGGGGUGGCCUGGGAUGGCAUUAUUAGCUGAAAUUACAAGAGAAAAAUCACCAGGAUCGAAGACCAAGGGCAUGUAACAGCAAAAAAUAAAAACAAGUGAUUCAAUUUCCUCUGUUCAGAGGUCUGAGAAGGGUAAUAAAACCUAGAAUAAGGUGGGUGUUAAACUGUGCAGAAAAUGGAGAACCUCGGAAUAUUUCUGAGAAAAGAAUAAAACUGUAAGUCAAAUAAUUAAUCUUUGAAAAACUCUUAAAAUAAAGGGUCUGGGGAAGAGACAAAGGCAAGUCAAGUUUCACGUCUAAAGCAAAAAGCCUAAAAUAAAGCACUAGCUCACUUGGUUAGCAUGGGAACUCUCCUGGCUGACUCCCUUUCAGGCUCAUCCAGGGUGUGUCAGAUUCCCUUAAGGGGCGGGGCUAUGCCUUGCAGUCAUCUUCUAAUUUGUUUUUCCUGGAUGCUCUCAUGGCUGCUCAUUCAGUUCUCAUCUGUACGCACACGGUUUGGAAAUUCUCCUCCUGAGCCCCACCUGGCACUCAGAGUGGCAGCACUAACUGCCUAUUAGCCUCCCUCCUUGGGCAUACCUCAAACUCACUAGGUCCAAAACUGGACUAAUGAUAUUCCCCAUGGAGCCUAGUGCUCUUUAUUUCCCUUUUCUCUGGAAAUGGAAAUGGAUAGGAUUACCCAGUCACAGGCCAGAUAUAUGCAAGUCAUUUUUGACACUCUUUAUCCCCCAACCCAGCCUACCAGAAGGUCCUGUGGCUAUGAGCUUGUAUGCAUCCCUCAGAGUCCUCCUGUGCUUGUCCCCUCUAUCAGCACCUCCUUAGCCCAACCCGCCAUCUUCCUUUGCUUGGCUGUUUCCAUAACACUCUUGACUUAGUGACUCAAAUUCACUAUUGCCCUCGCUAUGGCCAACUCCAAGUCACUAGCUCAAAUGCCAAAACUAACCACAUCACCACUGCACGUAAAAUCAUUCGGUGGCUUCCAUUCAUCUUAUGAUAAGUACGAAAUGCCUCAGCAGGGCCUGGCUAUCCUCUGAAGACAGCGAAGACAGCCACGAAUGACUUCUUUCAGCCCUGCACCUUUGCCCUGCUUGCUCCACCAAGGGGCCACUGUACACAGUUCCAUCAGUCAAGAGCUUGUUUUCCCUAUGUGGACAAUUAAACUCUAAACCACCCUUCAAAUCCCAGUAAAGUUAUCACUUCCUCCAGGCAUCCUUCCCUCAUCUUCUUGCCAUCUAACAGGCUCUUACAUUUUUCCUUUUAAAGCUCUUCACUGGGAUGAAAUGCUACGUUUGGUGGACCUACAUUUGAUGCAAGUAUUUGAUUCAUUCCUGUUCUCACACCACUCUUACCACUAAAUCAUCCUAGUUAUGGGGCUGGAGUGAACAAAACAUAUAAAAAAGAGUGAGCAGGAGACAAGGAACUGAGUCAAGAGAUCUUCUUAAGAUACACUAAAUUUAAAGGAAAAGGUGGAGUCAAGGAUGAUUACAAAGAUUUUAAGUCUGGAUGUCUAAGAAUACAUGAGCAACUAGUUUAGUACCCAUCCUGGUUCAAACUGACUUGGUUCAUUUUUAUGUUGUUUUCCUUGUUUCACUUUCCACCAUUCCAAUUCCUACACCAAAGAGCCCUAGUAUUUUAUUUAAGGUAAAUGACCUAAGGUUGGCUGCCACCAGAAAUGUUCCAACAGAGAGCCCAAGUGCCAUAAUUAGUACAGGCUUAAAAGUACCCCAGAGUCACACCCACUCUCCCAUUCUCUCCAGUAUUAAAUAUUAAAUACCAACACAGAGUGAAACUUUACCUUAGGUCAAACAAAACUUCCCUCAUAUGGAAAAGUCCAGGGGCAUGCAUGAAUAAUGAAGUUAUUGGAUUAUUGAAUCCUUCAUAGUUUAUUUUUAGUCUUAAUCUAAUUUCAGUAGUCCAGAAAUAUUAACAUAUAGUGUCUACCAUCACAAAACAUUUCUUCACAAAAUAAUGAAGUACAUAUUCAACAGGUGCUAAGAUUUGAAUUUAUUUCACCUUAAAAAAAAAUUAUUCUCUUACACUGGUGACUAUUGGGUUAAACCUGAAUUAUUUUAUGAAACCUGGUAGGUUCCUGCUCAGUAACUACUUCUGUUGUUAAGCCAUAUUUUUUUGCCCUUGCACUUUUACAGUGGAGGUAUUAAAGUCUAUUUUUUAAGCUAAAGCUAUUUUAUAAUAAACUGUUCUGGAGAUGGCGCCAUUUCUGCAUUCAAAUCAAGUGUUUCUGAAUUUAAAAACAUAUAUAUUAUUAUAGAGUUAUUGCACCUACAAGAGUUGCCAAAUAUUUGCAAUAUUUUUGAAAUAAUAAUAAGGACAGGUAUAGACAAUAAAAAGCUACCAAAGGAUUUCUGAAAAAUAAAUUACAUUCAGAGGUCUUAGAGAGUUUCCUACAAGUAAAGGAAUUAUGAGCUUCAUUCUGUCUCAGCAAGAUAUCCAAUGUAAGGGAAUGCUCAAUUCUAUAUAUCAACUUUAUGAUACAUCUAUAUGACUCAAAAGUUUCCAGCGAUAUUAUUUCUCUUUGGUGGGGGAGUUGAUAUAAAUGGUACAAGUGUUUACUAAUGCUUAUCUACAUUUACGAUAGUGUAAAUCAAGAGCCACGUAAUAAACUAUCAAUUUGAAUGGAUAACCUUCUAUUCAUGGUCUACAAGGAUGUAAGACAUACUGACAUUACUCAUUCUAGGCUGACCAGCUGAAGAAGAGCAUCCAGUGAGGCAAACAGGGCACUGCCUAACAACAGAAAGUAUCUAAUUUAUGUUAACAGAAGCCACUGUUUGCACAAGACUAUCUUGUUUGCGCGGGGGGGGGGGGGGGGGGGGGGGGGAGACAAAGAAAAUCCCAUAAUGCAACAGUAACACUGCCCUCCUCUGCAGCACUGAGAGAUGCCCACUAUAGGAUACCACCUUCAGCCAACAUCACCUUCACUUUAAAAAUCAUUACAGGGAGUUCCCAUUGCAGCCAGUGGAAACGAAUCCGUCUAGGAACCAUGAGGUUGCAGGUUCGGUUCCUGGCCGCGAGCAGUGGGUUAAGGAUCUGUCGUUGCUGUCACCUGUGGUAUAGGUCACAGACACGGCUUGGAUCUGGCAUGGCUGUGGUGGAGGCUGGCAGCUACAGCUCCGAUUAGACCCCUAGCCUGGGAACCUCCAUAUNAAAAAAAAAAAAAAAAAAAAAAAAAAAAAAAAAAAACUCAUUACAGCCGCUCUCUUCCCUCCUUCUAGUUUUCUACCAAGAAACUAUCACCUUGACCUUUUAUAAAAAGGAAAAAAAUAUAUAUUUUUCUGAACUAGCUUGACCAUCUCUUUGGCAGGGUUGAGAAGCCUUCCUUGAAACUUUCUGCUGUAACAUCACCUUGCCACCCUCUCCCGCUCCUUUUCUAUUUAGAGUAAAUGAGAAUUAUGGUCCUUCUGUAAACACUACACAUUCUCCAGAGAUCUGAAGACAGGGAGGGCUCAGAGUCACUCAGUGCAACUGAGCAAACAUUUAUUGAGCUGCUGUAUUUCUCAAUGGGCCUGAGAAUUAAAAAUAAAUAACAUUUGAGCCAACUCCCUUCAAAGAUUUCACUGUCUAUUAUAGAAGACAAACAUCUGCUAAAAACAAAGAAGUGAAAAAACAGAGGUGUGCCCUGGUUCUUCAGGAUGAAGGGGGGGCGGUGAACGUCAAUUUUGCCUGAUGAAUUUUGAAUCCCAUAGGGUUUUCUCAAGACCCAGAGUCAGACAUAUACUCUGCAUCUCUUCCUGACCCUUAUCUAACAAACAAAAAUGUUAUAUUUAUUUAAGUAAACUUGAGUUAAGACAAAUCAAGAGAGUCUUCUUUAAAGACAGGAAAAGCAUUAAAAGGGGUAAGGAAUAUACUGGGGGUAGGCUGGGGGUCUUGGGAUUCACAGUGAUUUGCAUAGGUAUGAAGGGAGAGGUAGAGGUCAGGUUUCCAGAAUCCACGCCCUCCCCUCACUCUGUUUUUAAGCCAUUUGCUUUCUGAGCUAAGGUGCAGCAAUACACAGCCAGCAGGACAGGGCCCAUUCCCAGUCCCUCAGAGCCCAGAACUGCAGCCAUCACUCUAAAUUCCCACACCCAAGGCACACAUGGGUCUUUCAGUCCACUGUCCACAAUCUGAAUACAAUCCUCUUUUUCAAUGUCAAAGCAACACCUUAUAAACAGAGCUGCUGGUUACUAGCCUCUGUUCGGUAUUUCAGCAAAAGAGCUAGGCUGGUUCCUGCCCAUUUCAGUCUCCUUCACCUCUUAGCUAGUGGAACACAGAUGUGAACCAGCUGGCACAAGCCAGGACCACUCGGUGGUUCUGCUGAAGCAAUUCCAAACAUUACCACGUUUUGUCCUUGCACGUUAUCUCUGAAGUCUCCAAAGGACUCCUCGAUGACAAGGUGUUUCCAUUUUCCCUCUCUGAUUUUAUCCUCAUCGUUUGCUAAAGCAAGCAUUAUUUCUUCAACUUUCAAAAGGAAAAAUGAAGCCUCAGAAAGCUUAAAUUACUACUCUGAAUAAAUUCUAAGAGUAAACGUUAAAAACAUUUGGACAGAUUCAGGAGCCUGACACCCAAAAUCACAAACUAGUGAGUCAUAGACAUUUUUGAUUUGGUCCACUGGGCAGGUUUUUUUUUUAAUUAAAAUGUUAAAAGUUGUAUAUUUCACGUAAUAAUACAGAUUUUUAUUUUUUAGACACAGAUGUUCAGAAUCCCUUGAAAAACUGGAACCCAGAAGCUCUGAAAUUCUGGGCUAAAUCUCUAUGAAAACAAUAGAGUGGGGAGGCAGAGCAUCUGUCACAGCCUGAACCACCCCAUGAGAUGAACUAGUCGUUCAUUUCAUAUCAUCUUAUCUUACCCAGAAGUGAGGGCACUUGAAUUGUCAACCACACUGCCAAACCUUAUCACAAGGUAUAAAUCCUUAAUGGUCUAAAGACAGAAAUCUACAAGUGCCAGAUGCUAUCUCACCCAACAGCCUCAGAGUAUUCUCCUUUAUGUCACCAAGCCAUACUCACUCACACAAACUCCAUGCAAAUGUCAUCUGCUCAACAACCAUGCUACCACCUUAUAUGUACUUAACCAGGGAUAGAAAAAAAUGGAAAAUACUUCCUCUAAAAGAGCCAAUAUCACAACCAAAUCAGUUAUAAAUUGUUAUAAACUAUUUACAUAUUUGUGGAAGGGGGAAAAUGUUGGAUUCAAACCCCUAUCUCAAGCCCUAUACCACCUCCCUAUUUUAAAGGAAACACUUUAAUCUUCUGGCAACCCACAUCUGUUCACUUUUCAAUGACCGCAGGAUGGGUCAAGGAAGGUUUAAAUACCUUAGAAGAGUCCCACCAUCACUUGCUAGUUUAAUUUUAAACAAAUGAUGGCCAAGCUAUGGCAUUUCUCAGUUUCUACUUUGCUAGUUAAAAAGCAUUGUUUGGAAAGCUGAAAAAUAAAAAGUUAAGGUGUCAUUGAUUGAAAUAGCAUCAAACUCUUGGUUAUUUUUAUGAUUUCAAUUCCAUUUGGGGAUUUGCAUCAGCUUGUGGAAAACAGAUGAUUAGCUGCUAAAACAAUAACAUCUUAAAGUUUUAUUUCAUAAAAUGAAAGCAAAGCUAUAAACUCAAAAGGAACCAGCCCACACAGUCACAGUCAGAUGAGGGGCAAAUGGUCUCCCAAGUUUCAGCUGAGGGGGUGUGUGAACUGCAGGAAGCACACACCCUACAACCUCACACUGAAAGGCAUUUUUUGAAAGCUGGCAAGUGCACAGCGGCUGCCUGGAGUGAGAGGUGGAUGGUCCAUGGCCUUGCGUAGAGCUGGACGGCCACAGACCUUGGACUUGUGCAUGCUGAAUCCAGCAG
rnacentral:lncRNA from 1 species